GACGAACGCUGGCGGCGUGCCUAAUACAUGCAAGUUGAGCGCUGAAGGUUGGUACUUGUACCAACUGGAUGAGCAGCGAACGGGUGAGUAACGCGUGGGGAAUCUGCCUUUGAGCGGGGGACAACAUUUGGAAACGAAUGCUAAUACCGCAUAAAAACUUUAAACACAAGUUUUAAGUUUGAAAGAUGCAAUUGCAUCACUCAAAGAUGAUCCCGCGUUGUAUUAGCUAGUUGGUGAGGUAGAGGCUCACCAAGGCGAUGAUACAUAGCCGACCUGAGAGGGUGAUCGGCCACAUUGGGACUGAGACACGGCCCAAACUCCUACGGGAGGCAGCAGUAGGGAAUCUUCGGCAAUGGACGAAAGUCUGACCGAGCAACGCCGCGUGAGGGAAGAAGGUUUUCGGAUCGUAAAACUCUGUUGGUAGAGAAGAACGUUGGUGAGAGUGGAAAGCUCAUCAAGUGACGGUAACUACCCAGAAAGGGACGGCUAACUACGUG
rnacentral:rRNA from 1 species